CAGAGUACUAUACUCCUAAACCCCUGUCUACCUUACCUAUACGUUGCUUCGGCAGGCGGCCCCUCCCAGGGGCCGUUGGGUGCCUGCCGGAGGUAUUUUCCAAACUCUUGUUUUAUAAACCUAAAGCUUCUGAGUUAUACUUUUAAAUAAGUCA
rnacentral:misc_RNA from 1 species